AUACGGAGGAUGCAAGCGUUAUCCGGAUUUAUUGGGUUUAAAGGGUGCGUAGGCGGUUUGCUAAGCGGGAGGUGAAAUGCCGGCGCUCAACGUCGGAAGUGCCUCCCGAACUGGUGGACUUGAAUGACUCUGCCGUGGGAGGAAUGUGUAGUGUAGCGGUGAAAUGCUUAGAGAUUACACAGAACACCGAUUGCGAAGGCAUCUCACGAAGGGUUGAUUGACGCUGAGGCACGAAAGCGUGGGGAUCAAACAGGAUUAGAUACCCUGGUAGUCCACGCCGUAAACGAUGGGCGCUCGUCGUCGGCGGCAGACAGUCGGCGGCCAAGCGAAAGCGAUAAGCGCCCCACCUGGGGAGUACGGUCGCAAGGCUGAAACUUAAAGGAAUUGGCGGGG
rnacentral:rRNA from 1 species